GAUUCAGAAAAUGGUCUCGUACAGAAGCAGCGAAUACCUCGCCGAAGAUGUCAGCAGCCCAAAAUGUUGAGUAGCCCUGAGGACACCAUGUACUAUAACCAGUUAAAUGGAACUCUAGAAUAUCAAGGGAGCAAGAGGAAGCCAAGAAAACUUGGGUAAAUAUCUGUCUUCUUAGUUCUAAGCAACUGUAAACAGAAGGGGUCCUUUGUGAUAUUACAGAAAAUGCCAAACUUUCCAGAGAGGCUUCUAAAAAUAUGCAAUGGGGAUAUCACACUAUUGACACUGGAAACUACUUUUCACAGUAGCAAGUAUUUACAAGACUCGAAUCUAUUCUGUCUGAAAAGACUGAAAUUGCCACCAAAAGGCAAAUGUUAUUUCUCAUAACUAUCCCAGGGAAUUGUACCUUCCUCAUAAUUCGAGACAUGUAUUGGGCUGUGUAAAACUCUCCCACAAAUGAGAGCACUCCAUGCAAUGCAAAUAGGUCACUUCCUCCACACUUCCCUGCCCCUGGGCCUUGGAGGUACACAAAGGAAGAUUUCCCAGAAUGGUUAGCCAGAGGACACCGAGGAGUUUGUGGCUGACUUGAUUGUUAGUAUCUGGAUUGAGAAUGGCAGCGAGGUAGGUAAUGGGUACUAGUUUGAGAACUAGAGGAGGUCAGGAGGGAAACUUCUGAGUAUUUACAGGGAACCAGACAAGUUAAGUCACAUAAAUCAAAUUGCAAUAUAAUCACAACAUCCAGACACCACUAGGUUGGGUCCAUUAUUCGUGUAUGACCCAGAGGUGAAAGUCUUUGUGGAUCAGACCCAGUUCCUAAGUGCUAGGAAGCCCCGAGCUAGCCUAAGCUGCCCCCGACCCAGUGUUGUGACCCAACCUGGUUCCAGGUACUCACAUAACUUGAGCUGCCCCAUUGAUAACUGGUGCCUUUGUUUUCUUCUCCUGCUGAAACUCUUUCCUUUGUUGCAGCCAAAUCAAAGUGCUUGAUGGGGAAGAUGAAUAUUACAAAUCUCUGUCACCUGUGGACUCUAUCCCUGAGGAAGACAGCUCAGCCCACCCUUUCUUUUUUUCUUUAUCCUCCAAAGGAGCAUCUUUUGCUCAGCCCUGAGCUGUACGUCCUGCCCCCGCCCCCCCCCCCAGGUCCUGGUGAGGGUAAGAACUGUCGUGGUAACUCCCUGAUGGUCAUUUAAUCAGAAAGCAGGGCAGUGGGAUCAGCUUCUUUGGUCGUGUGGUCUGUGCCAGAGCCUUUCUGAACAAUUUUCACAUUCUGAACCAUUUUUUCGUGCCUCCAUCACCCUCCCCACAUCUGCUUUGUAACCUGAGCUGUGCAACCCCUACUUUUCUCAUUCCACGGGUCCCUGUGGGGCACUGAGCACACCUCCACUAUAGCAGUGACAGUCAUUCAUGCCCCAGCGGCUAAGAGGGAAACACUCUCACUUAGGAACACAUAAGACAGCUUUCUUCUUCGUACCAUGUAGGUUCCACACAGAAUCUGCCCCUGUGAAAAUCCAGGAGUCCCUUGCCUCCUCGCCUCUCCUCUGCAUCCCCUUCACCUUUGCUGGUCUUUUACAGCCCUCCCACCUCUCCCCGGGGUCAGGGCUCCCCUGCUGAGGACCACCAUCCCGCCAUCCCGGAGGCGUACCCUCAAAGUCUCUGAGGCCAGGAUAAUUUUUGAUGCUGAGGGGGAGAAGCCCGAAUCUUUCAGGUUCUUCCUAUAAGGCAAAUGAACCCCUCUCUUGCUAAUUAUUAUGCUAGUAAAGCCUUUGUCUCUUUAUUCCAUCUUACCAUCUCACCCCCCAUCACCUUCGCAGUAAAAAGAAAGGAGUGAGACAGAAAGAAAAUGUGGCCCUGCCAGAGUCCAUGUCACAUUGCUUUGUAACUUUGCAUUCCCUGGUCGGCUGUCUCCAUGAGGCUGUGAGUGCCUGGAGGGAAAGCAUCUUAUAUGCACAGAGCCAGCCCAGUGCCUGGCAGGGGGUGGACAUCCAAUGAACGCCCACCCUUCAAUGAGUGGAGAGACUUAGUUGCACAAAUAUAUCUGACAAGAAUUGUAUGUGAUGCAGGAUUGCUCACUUUCCUUACACCAUAAGCUCUGAUUUUUCAUUGAAGGUUGGGCUAGUCCUAUUGUAAUGAUGUUAUCCCUUAUAUUGUAUUACUCAAUAUGAUUUAAUACAAGCCUUUUUUUGAGUAACUGCUCUGCAGAAUGGCAUGUGAAAUUGUCGUAUAAGGUCAAAACCUAACGAGACUCUCUCUCUAGAAAAGAUGUUCUUAAUAUUCUUUUUACUUUAAACUAUUUGGCAGCUAUGCACAUGGGAGUAUCCAGAUCUUGAGAAAAAUAAACUUGAGGAAGUAGAAAAAAAUUACCAGAAUUUUAAAGGGGAGAGUUCUAACAAGCAUUUUACAAGUGUAAGCAAUGAAAUGAAGCAUUUAAAGAUCUGCGAAAUUAUUAUAAGAAAGAAGUGUAGAGAGCCAGUUGUUCAGUAAACUUUACUUUUUAAAAAAUCAGUCUUGAUUUAUUUUCCAGAUCUUCACCCCAAAGGUAGUAUUCAUGAAGUAUGCAAAUAGAGCAGAAGAAACACCAAUGAAUUUAUUGUUUAAAAAAGUAGCACCUAGAAUAUGUAGAUUUUUAAUGUUUCUAUUGAUAUAAGUGGUUUGGGGAAUUUCACUUUUAGCAUUGAUUCAUCUACUUUUGAUUUGAUAAUAUUAGCUUUUUAAACUGUUGAAUAUUAAGUGUUUGUAACUUCCCACUUGUCUGUGUACAAUGUAAUUUUAUACCUGCCUUCUUUCUAAUUAAACCAUAUCUAUAAAUAAAGUUGAAAAGUAAAUAGAAGUAAUUAUAAAAUCGCAGUUCAGAAGCUCUGUAAUUACUGGUCACUGCCAUAGCUAUGGCUCCUAACAGUACUUUAGAAGCUGAAGCAUAGAUAGGACAGACGGUGCAUAUUAUUCUUUGAUUAGUCAUAAUGCUAUAAACUCAAAGAGCACUUCCUAAAUCAGUAGAUGAGAAGGAUGCAACCUGGAAUCUCAUAAAUAUCCUACUAGAUGUAUCAAGAUAAUAUGCACAUGGCAAAAACAAAACAAAAAUCUAAUAGUCUGGAGGGUUGGUAGUGGGAAGCAGCCUUGUUCUCUGUGCUCCAAACUUCAUCCCUUUCCCAGAAGCCAUCUUUUCUUUUAUUAUUUCUAAUUUUCUAAAUUUUAUUGAAGUAUAAUUGAUUUACAAUGUUGUGAUCGUUUCUGCUGUACAGCAAAGUGACUCAGUUACACAUAUAUAUACAUCCUUUCUCAUAUUCUUUUCCAUUAUGCUUUGUCACAGGAUAUUGACUAUAGUCCCCUCUACUCUAUGGUAGGACUUUUUGUUUAUUCAAAUCCCAUAUAUAAUAGUUUGCAUCUGCUAAUCCCAAACUCCCAAUCCUUCCCUCCCCCAUCUAAUUCCUUUUAUGGUUUUCAUUAUGUCUCUGAAUAAUUUGAUUCUAUGUGCUUGAUUUAUUGUUUUAGACAAAAUCUACUCCCCUCCUUUAUGAAAGAUGUGCAUUUAUCUCAGUUUCUCCUCCCCUCUCUCUUACUUCUUCAAUGCUUACAAUUUUGUGUUUAAAUUUUUUGUUACCUUUUAGACAAUACAUUAUGUAAUUAAACGUCUAUAUUUGUGCCAUUGACUUUAGAUAGUAUCUCUAUGAGGGAUACCUCAUAUGAAGAAAACCAGCAUGCUGAAGGGUAAUGUCAAGAGCAAUGGAAUAACAUCCCUGGACAAAAUAGGAGUAAUUCUGAGAAUAGAACAGGUUUUCUUUAAAACUUCAUUGUAAACCAUUGGUGUUCAUGUUCUAAGCUGCUGUUUCUUCCUCCAUUUUGGUUCAUCUGCAGAUAUGCUUCCAUCCAUUUUUUUUAAAACUUAAUUUUUUAAAUAUAAUGCAUAUACAGAAAAGGGCACAAAUCAGAAGACUCAGUUCAAUAAGGUAUCAGAAAGUAUCUCUAAGGAGUUCCCAUCGUGGCUCAAUGGUUAGCGAAUCUGACUAGCAUCCAUGAGGACGCAGGUUUGAUCCCUGGCCUCUCUCAGUGGGUUAAGGAUCUCAGAUGUGGCUCAGACGUGGCGUUGCUGUGGCUAUGGUGUAGUCUGGCAGCUAUAGAUCCUAUUCGACUCCUAGCCUGGGAAUCUCCAUAUGCCUCGGGUGUGGCCCU
rnacentral:lncRNA from 1 species